AAAUCUCUGUCUGUCUCCGCACACACAGCGCCCAAUGUACAAAGAUUUCGAAUUUGAAAUAUGAAAAUAGGUCCCACAGUAGGGUUUUGGGAGGGAAGGAGAAAGAAUUUCAACGGUCCUCUACUCCUCUUUUCCUUUUCCUUUCCCUUGCAUUAGCCCAACCAAAAACAAUCAUCCAUCUCUAACAAGAUCAAUAAUCAAAACCAGAACACACAUACAUACACGCAAAGAACAAAAAAAUGGUGGUGGCAAAGAAGGCGGGGUACGAGGAAAGCCGGCAAAAGAGGCUGGAAGAGAACAAGAAGAGAAUGGAACAGCUCAAUCUCAACAAGCUCGCUCAAGCUCUCCAUACCCCUAAAUCCUCCCCUAUGAAGAAGGUGAAGCCAAAGGUACCCAAACAGCCAUUGGAUCUCUCUGCUGUGAGAAGAUCAAGUCGAGUCGCAGACAAGCCUCUCCCUAAUUACAAAGAAGUUGGAGUUGAACCAUUGGGGUUGCCAAGGAGGAGCUAUCAAAGAAGGGAUUUGCUAAAUCGAGUCUAUGCCUCAGAUGAACAUCGACAAUAUGCUAUUGAAAGAGCAGAGCAACUACAAUCAAGUUUAGAUCAAGAUAUUCCUAAUUUUAUUAAGCCUAUGCUUCAAUCACACGUCACAGGUGGAUUUUGGCUGGGUCUUCCACAUAUCUUUUGUAAAAAUCACCUUCCAACUCGUGAUGAAACUAUCAUUCUAGUGGAUGAAGCGGGCGACGAACAUCCAACAAAGUACCUUGCUCAGAAAGCAGGACUUAGUGGUGGAUGGAGAGGUUUUGCAAUUGACCAUGAGUUAGUGGAUGGGGAUGCACUGGUUUUCCAGUUAGUUUCUCCUACGACAUUUAAGGUUUACAUUAUAAGGGUCAAUGAAACUGGAGAUGGCGAUAGCUGAUUAUUCUUCUAUGUUACUUUGUACUGCAGUAAGUAAGACGAAUAUGAAGGUACCAUGUUUCUACAUGACAGACUACAAAGGGACGAAGCUUACUUGUGAAGAAUGUAGGCCAGCAUUACUAUUAGAAUUUGUGCAUUAGCAAGUGUUUACAGCCCAUAAAAUUUUUGUGGCCUGCCUGUGUGAGGGCUAAAAUAGAAUUGAUAAAAAGAUCUUCCGUGUAUAAUUUUAGAGACUUCUUCUCGUAGUUUAUGUAGAAUUAGUUUCUUUUAGAUGUACUAACAUCUGGGCUGAAUGGUUUUUCUUGGUUUAGAUUACUAAAGUUAUGAAUGUUUUCAUUAUCUGUUGCACUUAAGAAAA